rnacentral:rRNA from 1 species
AUGGAAUGCCGAUCUAUUAUCACACCAAGGGACCUGGAGUGCAUGCUAUGUGAUGAAACGGCAGAGCCCAAGCCGCUGCCACUGUCACUUCUGAAAGAAAUCACAAAUGAUUUCUCUCCUCAGAAGCAAAUUGGCUAUGGUGGGUUCGCGGAGGUUUAUGAGGGUAUUCUAGAGAAUAGGUCCGUGGCGGUGAAAAGGAUGUCAAAUACGUAUGAGUAUGAGAAGGAGUACGUUCGAGAAGUUGAAUGCCUCAUGAAGGUGAAGCACAAAAAUGUAGUGCGAUUUCUGGGAUAUUGUGCUGACACACAAGGCAGUAUGUUAAAGUACGAAGGAAAAUUGGUCAUGGCCGAUGUACGACAAAGGUUGCUUUGCUUCGAGUUUGUUCCCAAAGGAAGUCUUCGUGAGUAUAUCACGGAUACAUCUUGCGGACUUCAGUGGAGAGACCGCUUUCAAAUUAUAUUGGGAAUUUGUCAGGGGUUACAUUAUCUUCAUCAAAAUAAUAUUGUCCACUUAGAUCUAAAGCCAGAGAAUAUAUUGAUGGAUAAUAAUUUGGUACCAAAAAUUACCGAUUUCGGUCUAUCAAGGUGCUUUCGUCCAAUGCAAAGCCAGACUUUUACUGUAAACAUACGCGGAACAUUGAGAUAUUCUGCACCAGAAUGUGGUAACGGUGAAAUCACACACCAGCUUGAUAUCUAUAGUCUUGGUAUAAUAAUCAUGGAGGUACUCACAGGAGAGAACUGGUAUCAGUAUGAUGUUGACAUGGCUUCUUAUGAUGUGUAUUACCGAGAGGGCCCAUAG